UCCGGUUGAUCCUGCCGGCGGCCACCGCUAUUGGAAUACGAUUAAGACAUGCGAGUCGAGAGACGUAAGGUCUCGGCGGACCGCUCAGUAACACGUGGAUAACAUGCCCUAAGGAGGGGGAUAAUCUCGGGAAACUGAGGAUAAUACCCCAUAGGUCUGAUAUGCUGGAAUGCUUUUAGGCCGAAAACUCCGGUGCCUUAGGAUUGGUCUGCGGUCUAUCAGGCAGUAGUGGGUGUAACGGACCCACUAGCCCGUGACGGAUAUGGGCCUUGAGAGAGGGAGCCCAGAGAUGGACUCUGAGACAUGAGUCCAGGCCCUACGGGGCGCAGCAGUCGCGAAAACUUCGCAAUGGGGGCAACCCCGACGAGGGAAUUCCCCAAGUGCCAAGCACUUUGUGUUGGCUGUUCUUCUGUCUAAAACACCAGGAGGAGUAAGGGGCG
rnacentral:rRNA from 1 species